rnacentral:rRNA from 2 species
GAAUGCUGACAUAAGUAACGAUAAAGCGGGUGAAAAGCCCGCUCGCCGGAAGACCAAGGGUUCCUGUCCAACGUUAAUCGGGGCAGGGUGAGUCGACCCCUAAGGCGAGGCCGAAAGGCGUAGUCGAUGGGAAACGGGUUAAUAUUCCCGUACUUGGUGUUACUGCGAAGGGGGGACGGAGAAGGCUAUGUUGGCCGGGCGACGGUUGUCCCGGUUUAAGCGUGUAGGUGUGUGUUCCAGGUAAAUCCGGUUCACUUUAACACUGAGGCGUGACGACGAGGCACUACGGUGCUGAAGCAACAAAUGCCCUGCUUCCAGGAAAAGCCUCUAAGCAUCAGGUAACAUCAAAUCGUACCCCAAACCGACACAGGUGGUCAGGUAGAGAAUACCAAGGCGCUUGAGAGAACUCGGGUGAAGGAACUAGGCAAAAUGGUGCCGUAACUUCGGGAGAAGGCACGCUGACACGUAGGUGAAGUGAUUUACUCAUGGAGCUGAAGUCAGUCGAAGAUACCAGCUGGCUGCAACUGUUUAUUAAAAACACAGCACUGUGCAAACACGAAAGUGGACGUAUACGGUGUGACGCCUGCCCGGUGCCGGAAGGUUAAUUGAUGGGGUCAGCGCAAGCGAAGCUCCUGAUCGAAGCCCCGGUAAACGGCGGCCGUAACUAUAACGGUCCUAAGGUAGCGAAAUUCCUUGUCGGGUAAGUUCCGACCUGCACGAAUGGCGUAAUGAUGGCCAGGCUGUCUCCACCCGAGACUCAGUGAAAUUGAACUCGCUGUGAAGAUGCAGUGUACCCGCGGCAAGACGGAAAGACCCCGUGAACCUUUACUAUAGCUUGACACUGAACAUUGAGCCUUGAUGUGUAGGAUAGGUGGGAGGCUUUGAAGUGUGGACGCCAGUCUGCAUGGAGCCGACCUUGAAAUACCACCCUUUAAUGUUUGAUGUUCUAACGUGGACCCGUUACCCGGGUUGCGGACAGUGUCUGGUGGGUAGUUUGACUGGGGCGGUCUCCUCCUAAAGAGUAACGGAGGAGCACGAAGGUUGGCUAAUCCUGGUCGGACAUCAGGAGGUUAGUGCAAUGGCAUAAGCCAGCUUGACUGCGAGCGUGACGGCGCGAGCAGGUGCGAAAGCAGGUCAUAGUGAUCCGGUGGUUCUGAAUGGAAGGGCCAUCGCUCAACGGAUAAAAGGUACUCCGGGGAUAACAGGCUGAUACCGCCCAAGAGUUCAUAUCGACGGCGGUGUUUGGCACCUCGAUGUCGGCUCAUCACAUCCUGGGGCUGAAGUAGGUCCCAAGGGUAUGGCUGUUCGCCAUUUAAAGUGGUACGCGAGCUGGGUUUAGAACGUCGUGAGACAGUUCGGUCCCUAUCUGCCGUGGGCGCUGGAGAACUGAGGGGGGCUGCUCCUAGUACGAGAGGACCGGAGUGGACGCAUCACUGGUGUUCGGGUUGUCAUGCCAAUGGCACUGCCCGGUAGCUAAAUGCGGAAGAGAUAAGUGCUGAAAGCAUCUAAGCACGAAACUUGCCCCGAGAUGAGUUCUCCCUGAGACUUAAAGUCUCCUGAAGGAACGUUGAAGACGACGACGUUGAUAGGCCGGGUGUGUAAGCGCAGCGAUGCGUUGAGCUAACCGGUACUAAUGAACCGUGAGGCUUAACCUUACA